rnacentral:rRNA from 1 species
CUGGCUCAGGAUUAACGCUGGCGGCAUGCCUAAUACAUGCAAGUCGAAUGGUUAGCUUGCUAACCAUGGCGAACGGGUGAGUAACACGUAGGUAACCUGUCUUUAAGACGAGGAUAACCAUUGGAAACGAUGGAUAAUACUGGAUAGGACAAAUCCCCGCAUGAGGAGAUGUUUAAAGGAGCAAUCCACUUAGAGAGGGGCCUGCGGCGCAUUAGCUAGUUGGUGAGGUAAUGGCCCACCAAGGCGAUGAUGCAUAGCCGGACUGAGAGGUUGAACGGCCACAAUGGAACUGAGAACGGUCCAUACUCCUACGGGAGGCAGCAGUAGGGAAUUUUCGGCAAUGGGCGGAAGCCUGACCGAGACCAAUGCCGCGUGAACGAUGAAGUAUCUCGGUAUGUAAAGUUCUUUUAUUUGGGAAGAAAAACAAAUUGACUGUACCAAAUGAAUAAGCUCCGGCCAACUACGUGCCAGCAGCUGC